CUCCUUAAUGAAAAGUCGUUUAUUAACCGGCGGUUACCACCUACGGCCCCUCGCGGACGUGGGCCUUAAACCCUUCAGCUCUCGACACCCCCUGCCUGCCCCUGGCGGUUCACGAAGGGCUGAUUGUCCCCGGAAAUGGGAUCCCGCGAGCCUUGCCCGGUCGAUCCCCUAUCGAUCAGGGCCUGUGUGACUAACGUGUGACAGCCUUUACCGAUGACAAGGUUACCGACGUGGCACAGCAGCGCCGCCGAGAGCCCAGGGCUCCCCGGAACCCUCCUCGGUGGGCGAGCUGGGAAGGGGGCGCACCGCGGUGGGAAGUGUGGUGGGCUAGGGCCCGCUCUUCCGUAGCUCCCGCUCAGCCUGCCUCACCGCCCUCCUGGUCUGGAAGCCGGCUCGUCAAGCCGCGUGUCCGCCCCUGGGCUUGGAGCGCAGUUCUCCCUACCCGUGUAGCUUUCCCCCAUCUCGCUCAACAUUGUUUUCCACACCACUCUCAGAUGGGGGGGGGGGGAGCUGCUUUCACAACUAAUCCAGUUGUUUCACAGUCACAACAAAGCUUUGUGAGGCUGGGCAAACGGGAACAUCUGACAGGGGGCGAGGAGCUUUAUGACCUUAUUUUCUCCCGCGCCCAUCAGCGGCCUGUGUCAGCCUAAGGCUGGACUCCCAUAUUUCCCUGGGACAGAGUGCCUCGCUAUAUUCUGGCCUUCUCGGGGAAGGGUGUGGGGACCCUGUGAUGGCACAUGAGGAAGAUGGCAUGUGAGAUGGCACCAAGAGAUGGCCCGCGUAAUGACAUGGGUGCAGAGGUCCAGAGGAUGGUGCCAGCACGGCCCCAAGUGUCUUCUGCGAGUUUGAAAUACAACGUGCCAUCCAUUCCUUGUGGCAGCCAGCAGCUCCCUCUCUGCAGAGGGCCAAGCAUUCCCGAAGCACCGAUGAGGCCCAAGGAGUCCCUGCAAUUACCUCCCCUGGAGGGGCAACUGAGUACCAAGAGCUCCGGGGGUCAGUGGGGCAGACGUUAUUUACACCUGUGGGAGAAAAGGUCUUCCAGCAAGUAUGAAGUGGUGCAGGCUGUCCCUCCCCUGGGUACGUGUCCAGCUUUCCCACCAGUACCUCAGGAAUUCGUCUCCAUUCAGCAUGCUUACUGAGGGCCUCCCACACACCUGGCAGCCCCCCCAAUGGUGGACACUGGCAAAGCUGCCUUGGAGACAGGGCCUGUGCAUCGUUCCUUAAACAUCCCCAGGGGGCCUGCCGCACAGUAGGUGCACAGGAUGGUCUGUGUUGGAGACACCAGCUCAGAGAGCCAGUGCUGGAGGCGAUGAACUAAAUCCCUAUUUGCCACCUCCAUCUCUAUACUCAGAGGUGGCUCUGAGCCUAGGACAUUACGUGAGUUCAAAUGACAAAAUGCAAUUAUGAAAAUGAAAAAGAAGUUUAGGAUAAAGAUGCAAAAGAGGACCCAAAAUAAAGAUGUAAACUCAUACCCGAAAGUUCGAUUUUUCAGACAGGUGAUUAUAAAAUACUUAGAAUCAAAGAAUUUGUCCCGCUGGAAAGGAUCAAGGAGGUUAUUCUGAGGAGUAAACUGAGGCCAAGAGAAGGUGAGUGAGGUGCCUGCUGCCGCACACCCAGUGAGUCCGGGAAAAGCUGCUGCUCCCCGCCACCAUGCCCGUGUGCCUAUUCAGGGCGAGAGGAGUUCGUACAAAGAGCACCCUUAGCACAGGUCCCACUGCUUGCAGAUCUAGAAUGUCGCAUGUCCUUGAACCCUGGGGGUCUCUUGGUUCCAAUUUUCCAUUCUCGCAAGUACCACAAGUGGCCUGGGCUCCCCAGCAGAGGGGACUGGAGACUUCUCUAGGACAGGGGUAGUGGGGCGUCUCCAUGGUUGUGAGUCCAUACAAAUUGCAUCAGAUCCACAUGUGCAGAGCCCGCCCUCUUUUCCCUCCCAUGGAAGGCCUUGGUGGCCACCCCAAGAAGACAACUUAGGAGAAAUAACUACAAAUUACUAAAUGCUAAGCACAGGCACAGUAUAACCCUCCCUUCCUCCCUACAAAUGUAUGGCAGUUGCUAAUCAUUCAUUUGGUUACUAAGUAUACACUGCAUGAUGACCCCUCAGCCUCUGCUGUUAUUUACUUUUAUUGUUAAUUGACUUUCCUGUACCUAGUUUGUGCUAAGCCAAUAAAAAUCUGCGUAGGCCUUCAGGACAGUGGACUUUGACACCACCUUUCCCUCUCCACACCCUACCCAGUGCAUGGCUUUGUGUGUGCCAGGCACUGAAGAAGUGGUUGUCUUUUAAAAGUAUUGAGCUUUCAGCAGAUGUUUGUAGCUGUGGCUGCUGCUGAGUGAUGACUAAGGAGAGUUGGACUGUAGAGUCUCUUAUCCAGCAGCGCUUAUCCAGCCGGGGCUCCACGCUUGGAUCCGCAAAGCAACCUGUGACCUUGAAGCGCUUUCCGACCUCCGGGUCUCGAUGAUCCUUCUGGUCCCUUCUACGCUCUGCAGGGGUGGGUAACUACUCUGUUUUAAAGUGAAGUCUCACGGCUGGGCGUGGUGGUGCAUGCCUGUAAUCUCAGCACUCAGGAGGCUGAGGCAGGAGGAUCGCUGCGAGUUCAAGACCAGCCUGGGCUACAAAGUGAGCUCAAGGCCAGCCUGAACCGUAUAGUGAGACCCUGCCUCAAAAAGACGAAAAAAAAAAAAAAAGUGAAGUCUCUGUCAGGUGUCAUAGCACACACCUGUAACUCCAGCACUUGGGAGGCCGAGGCAAGAGGAUUGUGAGUUCAAGGCCAACCUGGACUACAUCCGGAGACUCUGUGCCAGUAGAUAGGUAGAAAAAGAGUGUGGUCUCCGACCAGAUUAUCUAGAGAUUUUCAAAUUUGAGUUGAAAUUUGGGGCCCUCUCCUGGCUGAAGUGGUAUUAGCACUAUCGAUUUCAACCGCUGCCCAGGGUGGCGGCGUCCCUUCCAGACCCUGGCUGCCCUCUGGGAGGUGCAAACAGGAAAGCCUGGCACAACCCUCCCCCGCCGUUUUAUACCGUAAGUAGGCCUGUUCUCAUACUUCUCACUCCAUUCUUGCUUUCCUUCCUCUUCCUUCUUCCCCCUUCUCUUGAAAAUCCACUUUAAUGCACUGACUUAGCUCGGCAUGUUUUGAGGAUGGUUGCCCUGAACCUGGAGUGGAGAGCUGGCCAGGCUUCUCUCUUGGUUGCCAGAUGGUGAGAGCAGGAUGUGACCCCACUGUUCUCCAAUGCCAGCCAUAGUAACAAGCCCUUCCCACAGCACACCAACAGAAUACCACCGUUCUCUAACACCCCGUGUGGGCUUCCAUCAGCGGAAUCUCCGGGUGCUUCUUCACAGGUGUGGCCUCAGCCUGCACUCUGCCGGGGCAGGUGGGAGGCAGACUUUUUUUCAUGGAACCUUAUGAAAUUCCAGAGCUAGCCAACAGCCGCAGCCCCACAAUACCAGAAGGAAAUCUGGUAGCUUGCACAGCCAGAGGCUAAGGACACAAUGAGAUUCACAGAGGAAAAAAAUAUUAUGCCAUAACUCCAGACCACAUCCCUAAUCCUGCUCAGACAUCUGGUCUCCAAACUAGUGCCUUGUGUUUUAAGGCCAGCAGGAUGAGAGCAUAGAUGGUUUCAGACCGUCAUGUCCGCUACUGAACGCUCCCUGCCCCUAGCUGUGUUCCUGCCAGGUGAGGGAUCCCACCAUUAACCCGGUAUAAAAGAACAGGUUUUGUAGUUCCCUUUUAAUUAUAAACCACCCCAGAUUUUCUUCUCCAAAAUCCCCUGGAUUUCCCAGGAGCCAGCAAACCCGGAGCUGGUCACCGGAUGACAAAAAAGAACAACAAACCCCUUGGGGAAUUCAAAGGCAGUUUCUUUUAGAAUAGCCAGAGGUGGCAACUAAGCGAAACUAGGGAGUCUGGCUUUUGUCUUGGCCUUUCCCCUUUUCCGUGCUUUCUAAAGAAGAAAUUAUGGCUCUAUCCUGUUUGAAUCCAUGUCUCUUUCGGGUGGAAGGUUCAAGAUUCAAGAUCCAGUCUGGCUCUGACUCGAGCCCUGCCCUUUUUGCCUAAAGCACAAGGAGUCCCCCAGCUGGUUCAUUCUUUUCCCAACUGGUGACAGCAGGCACAGCACACCCUAGCACGCUGGGUUUCCCUGCUUUGGCGAAUGUGCCUGGGGUCUGGCUGUCAUCGAGAGGUCGGAGCUAGGCACAUUACUGUGACCACCCUGCUUCGCCUGCCCUCUGAAUACAGGCCAAGUGCGUGUCUUAGCCACAACUCUGUGGUUUACAAGUGCUAGACACUGAGCCGAGGUAGCUUAAAAAUAAGAAAGGAGGGGGCCUGAUUUCCAACGUACAGUGCUGUCCUGGGGAAUCCGUAGACACCUGGGCUUCUUGAGAGCACAGAAUUUGGAAGCAGCAAAUCUUUGAGAACAUCAGCAGUCAUUUUCUUCAUCGCUAUUUCUGCUUAGAGUUGUGGGUUUUAGUCUUCCAGCUGUAGACAUUUCUACAUGGCAGGAACCACGUAGAAAUUUUUUUCACCCACAUGGCAGGAGCCUGUCCAAGGGCCUACCAUGCCCUCCGUCCCACACACCUGCAGCCCACAGGGGGCCUCUGGAGUUCAGUUCCCAGCCCGCUGGGGGAAGGUGACCUGAUUGGCCCAGGUUGGGUCAUGUGCCCAGCAGAUCCAGUCAGUCACCAUUGGGUGGAGUCAGGCAGCACACAUUUGGUCAGUAGGCUAAGGAAACAAUUCUAAGACAGGGCUGAUAUGACAGACCACACUUACCAAAAUACAGCUACUAAAGCACUGAUUACUUUUUCAAGGACUUCAUUUAUUUAUCCACUGAACAAAUAUUUGUAAAUUACUAACGCAUGUCACCCACUGUGCUAGGAACUGGGGCUGCAGUUGGAGGCAAACCAGACGGUGUCCCAGCCCUUGCGGAGUUUGUCCAUACAUGGGUCUUCUUUGGGGAGAUAAACUUCAUUUUUUUUUGUUUCUUUGGUUUUUGUUUGUUUAUUUUGUUUUUGCUUGUUUUGAGACAGGGUCACCCUAUGUCUUUCAGGCUGGCCUUAAACUCACUAUGUAGCCCAGGCUGGCCUCAAACUUGCAGCGCUCUUCCUGCCUCUGCCUGCCAAGUGCUAGCAUUACGGGCGUGCACCACCA
ensembl:lincRNA